rnacentral:rRNA from 1 species
UACAGAGGGUGCAAGCGUUUGUUCGGAAUUAUUGGGCGUAAAGGGUGCGUAGGCGGUGCGGUAAGUCUCUUGUGAAAUCUCCAGGCUCAACCUGGAGCCUGCAAGGGAAACUGCCGUGCUUGAGUGUGGGAGAGGUGAGUGGAAUUCCCAGUGUAGCGGUGAAAUGCGUAGAGAUUGGGAGGAACACCAGAGGCGAAGGCGGCGAACUGGACAAUUACUGACACUAAACUACGAAAGCGUGGGUAGCAAACAGG